AGGUCGGGCCAAGUCCAAGCCGUACCAUAGGCCAGACCCAUGAAGACUCUACAUAGUGUUUUUUUGGUAAGUUGACUCUUUUUCCUAUUCAGUUUCUUUUUUUUCUUUUUCCGUUAUCCUCUAUCACCCCCACGCCCGAAGCCCCUCUUCCCUCCAUCAUCUCUACACCGUUUUUCUCUCCUCAUAUUCCAACUCCCGCACGGUUUCUGCACUUUUAUUUUUUUCUCUCACAUAAAGUUUUUCCACUCAUCAUGCCAAGAUACUCAGGCUCUCGCUCUCUCCUGAAAUUUGUUUUUGGUUCGUCUCUCGUUGCUGCUGUGUUUUCCACGAACCUUGCACUCUCGUCGCCUUUGGUUGAUCUUCACUGGUUUGUGUUAAAUUGAACCCUAGAACGUUUCCUUUUAUCUCCGUUGGACCGAAGCUAACGCUGUCUCUGGCAUUUCUUCUCUUCGCGCAGGUGAGCUCUUUCGCCUCAAUCUUCUACGCUCUGUUCUCAUCCUCACUCUCACUCUCGUACACACAGAUUCACUUUCCCCCUCUGUUUUCACACAACCUCUGUUUUAUUUUCACAUACAUGCCCAUAUCUCUCUUCGUAACUUGAGACUUUAACCAAUUUUAGUUUGUGCUCUUCUUUCCUUUUGAGUCCUACCACCGUGAGCACACCUUGCGUAAAUACUGGCCUCGCCAUGGGCAUAAUAGUGGCAUCAGGCCCCGCCAUGGAUAUAAUAGUAGCAUAAGGCCCUGCUAUGGGUGUAAUAGUGGCAUACGACCCCGUCAUGGAUAUAAUAGUGGCAUACGGCCUCACCACGGGUAUAAUGUGGCACAACCCUACCAUGGUGAUGAAACAUGGAAAACGACCUCACCACGGGUAUAAUGUGGCACAAACCUACCACAAGGAUAAAAUAUGGAAUACGGCCCAACCACGGGUAUAAUGGUGAUUUAUAAACCUACCACAGGGGUGAAACAUGGUACUUAGCCACGGGUAUAAUGAUGGUUUAUAACCUUAUCACGGGGAUUAAAGGUGGUAUCUGUCUCGAUAUGAUGCCCCAAUAAAAUAAGAAGAUUAUGUUUCAGUUUACGAUAUACCAAAAGAUUUUUGGAAUAAGAACUUUUCUCAAAACUUCGCUCUGAUA